UACGAAGGGGGCUAGCGUUGCUCGGAAUCACUGGGCGUAAAGGGUGCGUAGGCGGGUCUUAAGUCGGGGGUGAAAUCCUGGAGCUCAACUCCAGAACUGCCUUUGAUACUGAAGAUCUUGAGUUCGGGAGAGGUGAGUGGAACUGCGAGUGUAGAGGUGAAAUUCGUAGAUAUUCGCAAGAACACCAGUGGCGAAGGCGGCUCACUGGCCCGAUACUGACGCUGAGGCACGAAAGCGUGGGGAGCAAACAGGG
rnacentral:rRNA from 1 species